rnacentral:lncRNA from 1 species
CCAGUUUCUUCCUCAAGAAAUGUCAACUCAAAAUCAGGGAAGUGCUUAUAGCCAAACAACACAGCCAGGUAUCUAUGGUCAACAGGCACAAUCAAGUGCUAAUAUGUACAGCCAACCGACACAGCCAAGUGCUAAUCCAUACGGCCAACCUGCACAGCCUGGUGCUAACGCAUAUGACCAAGUUGGACAACCUAGUUCUAAUGCAUAUAGCCAAUCUGUGCAGCCGAGUGUUAACCUUUAUAGCCAACCGCCACAGCUGGGUGCUAAUCCCUACAGCCAACCUGCACAGUUUAACUCUGGGAACCUCUCACGGCAGGGUUCUCUUGUUCCAGUUUCUUCACAGGGUGCUCACCAGAUCACAAAUUCACCCGCUGUACAAAAUAAUAAUGAUUUCCUAAGUGGCUUAAUUUCAGAACCAGGGUCAAAGCCAGCACAGACAGUCACUCCCACAUCAACAGGAGCACUUGCUAUAGUUCCACAACCCUCAAAGGAUAAAUUUGAGCUUAAGUCGGCGGUUUGGGCUGAUACAUUAAGCAGAGGAUUGGUGAAUUUGAACAUAUCUGGACGUAAGUAAACAUUCUUCUUCUCUAAAAAUUGUCAUCAAGUAUGUCCUUUCUGCAUGAUCUAACUUUAUUGUUUUCGGUAUGCAGCUAAAACAAAUCCGUUGGCUGAUAUUGGAGUCGACUUCGAUGCUCUUAAUCGGAAGGAAAAAAGGAUGGAAAAACCUGCCCCAAAUGCAGUGACAUCUACAGUUACAAUGGGUAAAGCAAUGGGAUCUGGGUCUGGGAUUGGUCGUUCUGGUGCUACCACUCUUAGACCUCCCGCAAAUCCUAUGAUGGGUUCUAGUAUGGGUAGCAUGGGCAUGGGCAUGGGCAUGGGAAUGGGUGGUGGACCUGUUGGAGGCAUGGGAAUGGGAGGAGGCUAUGGUGGUAUGAAUCAACAACCAAUGGGCAUGGGGAUGGGGAUGGGGAUGAACAACAUGGGCAUGAAUCCAGGCAUGGGGAUGAAUAUGGGAAUGGGACAAAGACCCCAAAUGCAAGGAAUGCCUGGCGGUUAUAACCCUAUGAUGGGAUCUGGAGGCUAUUCUCAACAGCCAUACGGUGGUGGUUAUCGAUGAGAAUGGAUUCCCAUCCCAAAGAAGAGGAGUAAGGAAAUUACAUACAAGGCUGUGAUAUAAGGGUAAAAAUGAGAUGGGAAAAUAGCUAAAACAUUAGAUGUGGGGAAUGGAAUCCCAAAGUAGAAGCAGUAGAGUCGCACAUUUGUGUUGGCAGAUCGGAACCAUGUUUUUUAUUCAUAUAAUUGUCAUUCUUGGUUAAGCUAUUGCAGUGUUUGGGCCAUAAUCACUCCUCCCAUUGAUUACUGGUUUGAGCUGUUGUGAAAUUGUGUGGAUGAUGAUGACCUUUCUCGGCUUUGCAUUUUUUGUCUUAAUAUUCUUCCCUAUAAUAUAUAUAUUUUUUAUGGUAAAAAAAAUAAACUAAUCCUUCAAUUUUAUUGGAAACUGUAGUAAUUUCACUUUAUCUGUUACAGAAGCAGCAAUAGCUAGAUUGACGAAGCCUGUUGAAUAUUUUCUUUUCAAAAUUAUUUGCUAAGGUAUGAUGAAGCUUCAUUUCUGUAAUUAAGGUCCAAUAUCUUAUUUUAUUAAUUUUUUUAAUCAAUUUCUGCAAUAAAAUUUUAAUAUGCAAUCCAUUAGAAAUAUGUUUGUGUUUUUUUGAAAGAGACAAGUCCCUGUUACUUGAAAUAUUCGUGUUCUUUAUCAAAUACAUAGAGCUGAAGCAUCCACAACAAAUACAUAAUCAAAUGCUAAACCUAAUUUGAAUGUGCAGCAAAAGAGAGAGAAUUUUAGAUAAAGUUGUAUUUUCAAGUAAAUUUAUAUAAAGAAACAAAGAAAAGCAUUCAAAAAAAAAUAAAAAGUCUAAAAUCAACCAUCAAACAUCACAAGUUUCAGCUUCACAUUAUUACAUGACUUCUAUUUAAAACUUAAAUGGUCAGAAAAAUUAAAGUACAAUGACAACAACUAACAUCCCAAGUAACAAGAUAAAGAUCAGAUCCUGUUUUUCAGUCUAAGAGUUUUCUUGUGUUGGAACUAAGAACAAAGAUGAAUGAAAAAUAACAGAAGCUUGAGCUUGAAGGCUCGAUGGCUUGCUGAGCAAACAAAACAGAAUCGGGCUUGAAAGACAAGAGAAAACAAGAAAAGAGAGUUUUUUAUGAUGAAUCUUUGAUGAAUUUUUCAUUAACUUGAAAGAUGGCAUAUUGCCAAUACAUAUACCAGACAUAAGCUGGUCAAGAUGAAACAAAGUUACCUAAACAUCUACCUAACUCCACUGAGUAGCAUUGUAACUUGUUAAACAAAACUUGCACACUUGGUAAAGCUGAUUUAUCAGCUCAAACAUCAACAAAUUACAUCAAGUACAUUAACAAACUAGUUCUAAUCUAACUAAGUUACUAUCAUUUGAAACUAACAAAAUGAACAGCAGCAUGAACUUCAGCUGCAACUGCUUGGCUCGGGCAACUUCUCUGCUUCUUGUCUGCAUGCAGGCCAGCUUCAACAGUUUCAUUUUUUCUUCUAAAGUUGUAUAUUUGAAAAGCGUCUAAAACAAAAUUGAUAGUUAAAAAGGAAUGAAUUAUUGAAAUCCUGUGUACAAUAGAAAGGGUAGCAUAAAGGUAUUAGGGUGAAUUUGUUGCCAUACUAAAAUUUUUAGGGGAUAUUGUUCCUGAUUCAGGAUUUUGAUGAUCCAUUUGGCGAUAAUCCUUUUAAAGCUGUCCCUUCAACUGACUCUGCUCCAGCUGUACAACAAAUUUCCACUUCCAUGCCUACUUUCCAGCCUGCUACAAACCAAAAUGAAGUAGCUCCUCAGCCACCUUCUGCAAGUUCCAAGACAGUCACAAAUUUUGACUUUGGGAACUCAUUCUCUGCAAAUGCUUAUUCUGCACCCAAUGGCGCAAACUCCCAGUUUCUUCCUCAAGAAAUGUCAACUCAAAAUCGGGGAACUGCUUAUAGCCAAACAAUACAGCCAGGUAUCUAUGGUCAACAGGCACAAUCAAGUGCUAAUAUGUACAGCCAACCGACACAGCCAAGUGCUAAUCCAUAUGGCCAACCUGCACAGCCUGGUGCUAACGCAUAUGACCAAGUUGGACAACCUAGUUCUAAUGCAUAUAGCCAAUCUGUGCAGCCGAGUGUUAAUCCUUAUAGCCAACCGCCACAGCCAGGUGCUAAUCCCUACAGCCAACCUGCACGGUUUAACUCUGGGAACCUAUCACGGCAGGGUUCUCUUGUUCCAGUUUCUUCACAGGGUGCUCACCAGAUCACAAAUUCACCCGCUGUACAAAAUAAUAAUGAUUUCCUAAGUGGCUUAAUUUCAGAACCAGGGUCAAAGCCAGCACAGACG